rnacentral:tRNA from 1 species
GGCUCGGUAGCUCAGCUGGCUAGAGCGCAGGACUUAUGAUCCUGAGGUCGCGAGAUCGAAACUCGCUCGAGCCACCA